CAAAGGCGAGAAAGACGGAGAAAAAAGGAAACAGCAACACAGACUGAUAGAAACAAUAAAGCAGGAAUAGGAAGCUCCCGACACAGCGACUGCUCCGGGAGCCUGGGGUCGACCGCCCCCGCGGGUAGGGUGCGCGGACUCAGCGGUUGGACCCGCGGCCGCGGGGCGCAGAGUGGGCGGCGGGAGAGGCGGCGGCAGCGCCUGCGAGGCCGAGGGAGGUCGCCGGAGGCGCCUCCAGCGCCCGGAGACCCGGUGCGCAGCGCAGCUCGGCCGCGGGACGCGGCGCCCGGAGCACCGGCAGCGCCCGCCCUCCCUCCCGCGUUGCCCGCCAGCGCCCGCGCCCGCUCCGCCAGUGACUUCAGCUCAGCUCCACCCCGCGCGGCGGCGGCUCGCUCCGUCCGGACCCGCGCUCGGCACAAGCCCAGCCCGGGCGAGCGGCCGCCACCUGCCUGGCGCCGCCUCCGCCCGCCCCCACCGCGGCCCAACUUGGAUGGAGUUGGGGUCCUGAGCGCCGGCCCCCCACAGCCGCCAGCGCCGAGCUCCGCGCCGCCACCUUCGGUCCGGGACCCUCUCCGCUGCUCUUCGCUCCCGCGAUGGGAAGAGUGCCGGCGGCGCCUGGCUGAGCGCGCUCCUAGCCGGCGCGGGGCUCUUGGUCCUCUGCGUCCCGGGCGUCUUCGGCGGCGGCUCUUGCUGCCCCCGCCGCACCCCAGCUCGGCCCCACGCUCGGCCUCGACCCCUAGGGGCUUUUUCUCACCAGGGGCCGCCAGGCAGGGCUCCUGCCACGCCCCUGCCCCUCGUAGUGCGCCCCCUGUUCUCAGUGGCCCCCGGGAACCGAGCGCUGUCCCUGGAGCGGGCUCGGGGCACUGGAGCAUCCGUGGCGGUUGCUGCACGCUCCGGCCGGAGGAGACGGAGCGGUGCGGAUCAGGAGAAGGCAGAACGGGGAGAGGGCGCGAGUCGGAGCCCCCGGGGAGUGCUAAGAGAUGGAGGGCAGCAGGAGCCUGGUACUCGGGAGCGGGACCCGGACAAAGCCACCCGCUUCCGGAUGGAGGAGCUGAGGCUGACCAGCACCACGUUUGCUCUGACGGGAGACUCAGCACACAACCAAGCCAUGGUCCACUGGUCUGGCCACAACAGCAGCGUGAGUAG
rnacentral:lncRNA from 1 species